rnacentral:rRNA from 1 species
AAUCAACGCUGGCGGCGUGCCUAACACAUGCAAGUCGAACGAGAAAGUGGAGCAAUCCAUGAGUAAAGUGGCGACCGGGUGAGUAACACGUGACUAACCUACCUUCGAGUGGGGGAUAAACCUCGGGAAACCGGGGCUAACACCGCAUAACAUCUUUGAAGUGGAAAUUUCGGAGAUCAAAGGAGCAAUUCGCUGGAAGAGGGGGGUCGCGGCUGAUUAGCUAGUUGGCGGGGUAACGGCCCACCAAGGCUAGAUCGGUAGCCGGCCUGAGAGGGCGCACGGCCACACUGGAACUGAAACACGGUCCAGACUCCUACGGGAGGCAGCGGUGGGGAAUUUUGCGCAAUGGGGGAAACCCUGACGCAGCAACGCCGCGUGGAGGAUGAAGUCCCUUGGACGUAAACUCCUUUCGACCCGGAC